rnacentral:sRNA from 1 species
AGGCAAAAGAGAAUCAUCGGUUCAAACAAUAUCCAAAAUAAAUACCAAAUAUUUGUCAAAGAAAAUCACAGAGUGGGGGAGAAAAACAAAGAAAAACAAAAGGCAACACACAAAUUGCCCUGCAUCACAGUUAAGUAAGUUGUUGGCGCAUUUCAAAUCAACCACUUCUGCAAUUCUCUCGCGUGUCUCUAUUCGUUGAUACACUGUACGUCACCGCAUUCCUCAGACCUGCUUCAGCUUCUGGAUAUGAGCUGAUUUUCCCGCUGAAAAAGGCGUACGGUCAACGGGUUAAAUUCAAUAAUAAGACUGGAGAUUUAAUCAUGUGGAGAAAGAAGGCUCUUGCUAGCUCGCCUACGUAUUCUGAAAACUCCUACCCAACCAGGCACGGGCCAUGGAUCUACGAGCUCCCGAAGCCCUAACAGUCCUCACACCAUUGUGUAGUUGAAAAGCCAGAGCAAGAAGAUCAAGUAAUUC